rnacentral:rRNA from 1 species
GUGGGGAAUAUUGCACAAUGGGGGAAACCCUGAUGCAGCGACGCCGCGUGAGUGAAGAAGUAUUUCGGUACGUAAAGCUCUAUCAGCAAGGAAGAAAAUGACGGUACUUGACUAAGAAGCCCCGGCUAACUACGUGCCAGCAGCCGCGGUAAUACGUAGGGGGCAAGCGUUAUCCGGAUUUACUGGGUGUAAAGGGAGCGUAGACGGUAUGGUAAGUCAGAUGUGAAAGCCCGGGGCUCAACCCCGGGACUGCAUUUGAAACUAUCAGACUGGAGUGCAGGAGAGGUAAGUGGAAUUCCUAGUGUAGCGGUGAAAUGCGUAGAUAUUAGGAGGAACACCAGUGGCGAAGGCGGCUUACUGGACUGUAACUGACGUUGAGGCUCGAAAGCGUGGGGAGCAAACAGGAUUAGAAACCCUUGUAGUCC